ensembl:lncRNA
CAGAUUUACAACAUUUCUACGGUUUUUGUGUCCCAAAAUACAAUCAGAGUGGACCGACGAAAUUCCUUUGUGGUGCUCAGUAAUCACCACCAGGGGGUGAUCAACAUAAAUCAGAUACAUUCAAGCAACCACCUGACUUUUAUUGUGAAAUCCGGAAGCCAUCCUUAACCUGGAAGUAUUUCAAUUAUUGUAGGAAGUUUUCCGCCAUAAAACCGACACUGAUUUGACGGACAUAAAGGCUGAAAAUAGAACGGACUGGUGGACAUUUCUUUUUUUACAUUGAUCCAACAAUGCUGUUGUCAGGACCUUCAGAAGACGAGUCCAGCAAUGCAGCGGAGAAGCCUCAGCAGGCCGGCUCGGUUGAAGGAAGCCCCAAAGAGAAGUUGUCCCCUCCAGCCAGUCCUGCAGGCCGUUCCCCCUCUGGCAGUCCCCCCUCGGGGAGCGGUGACUGCAGCAGCUCAGACGACAGCACCAGCAGUGAUGAUGAUGAUGAACAUCAUGGUGCACUGAAGAAGUUGAGGAGCAGUGUGGCUCAGAUCAAAGUAAGCAAGGAUUACUACUGUUACUGGCUGUUUCUUUUAGGUUUACAACUUUAGGGAUGGCGGACCAGCGGGGUUGGUCCGCAGAACGGACGUGUUUGGGGGACUGAGAUGCUACGGAUAAAGUUAGCAAGUCUGCUUUAUGAUACUGAGCAGUGAAGAAACCCCUCCAAACCUCUGUACCGACACGCACUGUCUGCUCUUUUGAACUUGGG